rnacentral:lncRNA from 1 species
UCCUGUGAUGUGAACUGUCUACGGGUCUCUCAGCCGUGGAUACCAGCGCUUGUUCUGGUGGAGGUGGCAGAAGGUGCAAUAGACUUUCUGAAGGUCUGUAGCUUUGGUGGUUUAAUGCUCUAUUUUUGUGCCGGUUGGCCUCCUGCCAGGAGGUGGCAUUUUCCAGAAAACAUCAGCUGUAGUAAUGUGGAGAGGGACCAGUAGUGGGUGGGACCCUAGAACUCCCAAGAUUAUAUGCCGUUUAUCUUCCACUACCAGGGUGGAUAGGGAAGGACCAUCAGGUGGGGGCAGGGCUAGGCAUACGCUCAGACUGUUCAGGAGGCUCAGACUCUCCUUGGGCAAGUCUUGCUGUGGCUGCUGUGGGAGAUGGGAGUGAGAUUCCCAGGUCACUGGAGUUGUGUACCUAGGAGGAUUAGGGCUGCCUCUGCUGAGUCAUGCAGGUUAUCAGGGAAGUGGAGGAAAGCUGGCAGUCAGAGCCCUCACCCAGCUCUCAUGCAAACGGAAGGGCUGGUCUCACUCCCACCAUGUCCCACCAACAGCCCUGAGUCUGUUUCCAGGAAGAGGGAGAGAUAGGCUUGAAAACUUGCCCAAGGCUAUCUGCCUCACAGCUGUGAAAGAAAAGGGCUUUAGUUCUUCCCCUACGAGUGAAGUCUGCAUACUGGAUUCACGCCCUCCCCUGAGUUCUGGCCAGGAGGUUUCUCACCCUGUUCAAAUUGGUACAAAUUUCGGCUAGAGCAUUCCUUCUCCCUGUGGAGUUUUACCCCCUGCAUCUCUGGCCACCCUCUCAGUGGAUCCCUGUGGUGCCAGGCAGGAAUGGGCUGCAGGGGCACCCAGCGAGCUUCCAGGGCCUUUCUGCCGCUUCCUCUACCCCUGUUUUUCGCUUGGCUCUCUAACUUGACUCAGCUUCAGCAGCCACAGGAAAUUAAUAUAACUGCGAAGGAAAAGAUUUCCCCUGCUCGAGUCUCCCUGCACUCCUACCCAUCUGAGAGAAACAGAACUGUUGAGUAGCUGAUGCAAUUUCAUCCAUAAUAUUGUGGAUUCACCAUUGAUUCAGCAUCUGAUCCUCAGCACUGUAUAUCUAAGAACUCAUUCUCCUUGGUUCAUCAGGCAUGAUCAGAUUAAGGAUUCAUACACACUGACCUAACUCACAGGAGAGAGUUAUAAAUCAGAACACCAAUUUAUUGCCUUGUUCAUGGAAAUAGAAACACUACAUGUGUCAGCUUACUCAGAUCAGCAGCUAAACACUGUUCAGUGUUGAUUGGGAAAUAUAAAGCCAGAAUGAAGGCAGCUGGUUCAUCUUGAUAGCAAAUGUUACCAAAUCUCAUAGUCUGGUGCCCUAAUCUCCAUGGGAUUAGAACAUGUACAUCGACCAGAGAGGUUCUCUUUCUCCUGACUAUGCUGGGACAUUCUGGCAAAUUCUGACUCAUCACUCCCUUUCUAGAAUCCUUAAAGACCAUCAUCACGCUAUUUCAAGAAUAUUCCUUCAGAUGUGUUACAAAGAUUAAAUGUUGAUUUAUGGUAUCUCUAAA